GGCACGUGCCCGAUGCCACCACCGAGGGGAGAGCGGAGAGGAGUGGGGACUGGCCGACCACGGCGCGCCGCCGCCGCCGGGGUGGGGUGGGGGUGCGAGGGAGCGCUCGCUGGCUCGCACUCCGAGGCAUUGCUCAGGUUGGUAGAUUCCUUUCUGGAUAGCAUGUCCAUGCUCUGUUCAGCUGCUGGCUAAUUCCUUCCAUUUCCCGCCAUCUUUUUCAAGCAAUGUUGUGUGAUACCAUCAUUAGCAGUUGUCAGUUGAAGAGGAGCAUACAAGCAAUGUACACAUCUCUUCAGGUAGAUGGUGGGCCUUCUGUACUACAGUUAUGCAGACGGACAUUGCUCACAUUGCCCACACCCCCAUCUUAAACUAUCAAAAUUUUGAGAGGCUUGUGUAUCUGUAUCUCCAACAAUGCGUGUUUUUGAACAAUCACGUUGUAGCCCUUGUUGUUCUGCUGUUUCUACUAUUAUUUUUAUUUUCUAACUAUGGUUUUACAAUCCAGGAGAUCUUGUCCUGGCAACUGCUGAGGGCCUGAGGCCAAUCUGUCAAAUCAACUAGAGCUCUCCCAGAUACCUGUACUCAGGCAGUCUUUGAAACAUUUUCUUCUAUUUCUACAGGGUAGUCUUUAGCAUUGGGAUAAUUUUCUGGUGCUUCUAGUCAAGUCGAGGAUUCAAGUUUCUAAUGAGAGUUUUGCUCCGGUGGUCCCUUCCAUGAAGUUUUCGUACCUGGUGAUGUUUCUAUCACAGUUCAUGCAUUCCUCACAAAAGUACGCAGUUAAUUCUUCACCUGAUGCUGAAGUAUUGCAUAGGGAGUGGAAAAAGUAGCUCCCAGGGUAUUCAGUGUUGGAGGAAGGUGACUCAGGUCCAGAAAACUGCUUUUGUUCUUUCCUGACUACUAUCACUUAGUGGAAAAUACCAAGUCAGAUUUCCAGCGAAAUCAUUAUUACCUAAUUCAGAAGAAGUGUUAUCCUUUAGCAUAUAUGGCAUUACUCAGUCUUUCUUGAAGUUCUGGUAUCGCAAAUGUUCUCCAUAGACUAUGAUGCAAAGUGGAAACUGACAGUGAAACGCCACAACGUUUCCUUAGUUCUUUACCUAUAGAUGAAGCAUGAUGCAGCUGUCAGUGGGAGUGUCCAAAAGUUUUGUCUAGCUCUUCAGCAAUCGACUCGUGUUGUCUAGCUCUUCAGUGAUCGGCUUACCAUUGACUCCUGACAAACCAGUAAUUUGUGAGGCUCAUCCAUGCAACGCGCUUGCUGUUCUUGAGAUAAACCAGGAUUCUGCUUUUGUAAGAGAUUCUGUUGUUUGCUUCUGCCAGGGAUAUCUGUUUCUAGUUA